rnacentral:lncRNA from 1 species
AGAACAUGUGCAGCAAGUCCGCGGUUACAUAAUUACCGUGUUGAUAGAUAUUGCGUGAAUUGUAUACUGAUCCUCCUUUGGAAUUCGUCUACGGGAUAGUUUCCGCGUGUCGGGAAGUUCUGCUGCUUUGAUCGAGUGGCGGACGAAGACUCGCCGUACGUUGCCUGCUCCAAACAGCCGCAUCGGACGCGCGCCUUCGUGUUUGCUCUGAAAAGUGAUUUCUUCCUCCAUUUAUCGAUUACUCGUGUUGUUCGCGUGAUUCAAUGUCGAGUGUGCUUCCGAAGACAAUGCUCGAACCCUGGUGUGACAAGCAGUGACUGAUGUUAUGCGAGAGCGUGAGCUUUUUGACGGGCGACUGAAGAGUGCACAGCCUAUGCCAAAACUUCGGAAGCGAUGACCCGGGCGGCUUGUUGGCACAGCGGGGAUGACGAACCAGAGACCCGAUAGGCAGCGAUGACAGCUGUUCAUGGUCCCGACACAGAGGACAGGUUGCAGUGCGCGAUUGGAGCGGUCUUCCAGCAAGCCCUAACGAACCUUAUUA